ensembl:lncRNA novel transcript
GGGGCCUCUGCGUCCGGUCCCAUCUCCGCCUGCAAAAGGAGCAGCUGGCUCCAGGCUCCAACGUGCCUUCCAGCUGCCUGACUGCCUCUUCGCCUCUCCCGUCAUUUCUUGGCUCGAAAUGGACCCCAACUGCUCCUGCGCCACUGGCUGCUGCUCCUGCUGCCCCAUGGGCUGUGCCAAGUGUGCCCAGGGCUGCGUCUGCAAAGGGGCGUCGGAGAAGUGCAGCUGCUGUGCCUGAUGUGGGGACAGCCCUGCUCCCAGAUGUAAACAGAGCAACCUGCACAAACCUGGAUUUUUUUUUCAUACAACCCUGAGCAUUUGCUACAUUCCUUUUUCUAUUAAAUAUGUAAACGACAAUAAAACAGUUUUGACUUGAUUCGGACCCUCC